GGGGAGGCGGUGAUAUUGAAAACUACCUAUUUUAUGAAAGGGUUUAUCGCCCUUUUCGUGAUUAGAAAACCAAUGGAUCCUUCUGAGCCUUCUC
rnacentral:snoRNA from 1 species